rnacentral:rRNA from 1 species
ACAUGCCUACAACAUAGUGUUAAUGCACCAGAUCCCAUUAAAACUCUGCAGUUAAGCGUGCUUAGGCUAGAGUAGUAUUGGGAUGGGUGACCGCCCGGGAAGUCCUAGUGUUUUACAUGCC